rnacentral:rRNA from 1 species
UACGUAGGGCGCAAGCGUUAUCCGGAAUUAUUGGGCGUAAAGAGCUCGUAGGCGGUUUGUCGCGUCUGCCGUGAAAGUCCGGGGCUCAACUCCGGAUCUGCGGUGGGUACGGGCAGACUAGAGUGAUGUAGGGGAGACUGGAAUUCCUGGUGUAGCGGUGAAAUGCGCAGAUAUCAGGAGGAACACCGGUGGCGAAGGCGGUUCUCUGGGCAUUACCUGACGCUGAGGAGCGAAAGCGUGGGGAGCGAUCCGG